rfam:Candidatus Buchananbacteria bacterium RIFCSPHIGHO2_01_FTLL_39_8 rifcsphigho2_01_scaffold_13820, whole genome shotgun sequence.
GGAGGGGUGCUAGAGUGGUCGAAUAGGACAGUCUUGAAAACUGUUGAGGCAGAAAUGUCUCCGUGGGUUCGAAUCCCACCCCCUCCG